rnacentral:rRNA from 1 species
AUUGAACGCUGGCGGCCGGCCUAACACAUGCAAGUCGAGCGAGCGGCGGACGGGUGAGUAAUGUCUGGGAAACUGCCUGAUGGAGGGGGAUAACUACUGGAAACGGUAGCUAAUACCGCAUACCAUCAGAUGUGCCCAGAUGGGAUGAGCUAGUAGGUUGGGUAAAGGCCUACCAAGGCGACGAUCUGUAGCGGGUCUGAGAGGAUGAUCCGCCACACUGGGACUGAGACACGGCCCAGACGCCUACGGGAGGCAGCAGUGGGGAAUAUUGGGCAACGGGGGGAACCCUGAUCCAGCCAUGCGGCGUGUGUGAAGAAGGCCUUAUGGUUGUAAAGCACUUUAAGCGAGGAUGCGUUACUCGCAGAAUAAGCACCUGCUAACUCUGUGCCAGCAGCCGCGGUAAUAC